rnacentral:lncRNA from 1 species
ACAGUUCUUUGCUUUUCGCCAGCUGAAGUGAAGGACACUUGGUCAGCUAAUGUCAAAUUGUACAUUUAUCUUAGUUUUUUUCUAAUUUUAAAGGUGAUUUUAUAUAAGUGUUGAAGAGGAAACAUAACUUUUUCCUCAAUCGUCACGAAUUCUUAGUUGGAACGGACCCUUGUAACAAAAGUCAGAUUAAUGAGAAAAACCAAAGUUUAUUAACAUGUGCCUUUCAUAUAUACACAGGAGCUACCCAGGGAAUGAGUCAUUCUCAUAGUGGUGGCUUUGAAUUCCAGCUUAUAUAGCAUCUUCAACAAAGAACAGUAGAUUUUUAGAGAUGUGACAAGAUGAAGAGGAUUUUGAAUCUCCAGGGGCAGCAACUUGAGGAAAGGUCAUCCUGUUGCCUGGGAUGAAGUGUCACAUAGUUUGAAUCCACAUUGCUUGCUGACUUCAUGGGGUGAAUGAACUUUUCCAAGAUUCUGGAAGCCUAUUGUAAUUUGUGUUCUCUACAUUUUCCUGAGGUCCCAGGGAUGCCGUGACUACUAAGCUCUAUGGUAGGAGUUGGGGCAGGAGGAAACAACUUUAGAAGACACCUGUGUGUCCCUCCCUGCUUGCAUCUAGCUUCUUCGUCUGCCCAGGUGGACUGCUCUUACCGUUGCAAAUCUGGGAGCACUCAGUUGUGGAACCCAGCCACCAUGUUGUGAAGAAGCCCUGUGCAGUGGUCCAAGUGACCAGGAGUCAAAGCUCCCAGCCAAUAGCCAGCACUAACUUGUCAGCAGUGUCAUGGAGCCCACUUGAAAGAGGAUUCUAAUUAUGCUGCCCAAGCUGUGGCCACAUGGAGGAGAGAUAUACAGUCCCUGCUGAACCCUGCUCUAAUUACAGGGAGACUUGAAAACCAGUGGUGGCGAGACUCCAAGACUAUUAUUUUUAUUUCCGGACAAAAACAUCUGCUUCACACAGUGCACGGCAUCAAAUGAAGAGGAAAGAACUUGUAUCCCAAAGCCUGGCUU